ensembl:lncRNA
CUGUUAUGGAUCAGUUCAAACAGAGCAGUAGGAAACAGCACUAUGAAAGACAUAAUCCAACAUCUAUCUAUAAAACUCACUGAAGUUCUCUCUACCUGAACACAUGUGGAUAGAUCAUUAAACAUGCUUGUUUUGGCAACUACUAUGAUGUUUAUCUGAAUGUUCAGGGCUAAAAGCUGAGAUAUGAUCAAAAAUCAUACAGGAAUUUCCCCCAGAUGAAAUUGGCUUUCUUGGCUUUUAAGAAUGACACUGAUGUUAGCAACUGGUUUCAGAUUUCUAUGUGGCAAGCAGAACACCCAGGCCCCUGGCUGGUAGCAAUUGUAGCCAUUCAGAGGAGCAGCUUACUGCCAGUUCAUGGACAUGAUGUUCCCCAGGUGUAUUAGCUUGAAGAAAGAAGAAUGAGUACAUUCACAACUUCAAGAUUCUGCAACUUUCUGUAUAGUGAUUCUCCCCAUCUGAAUAUUGAGACAUCAACUAUUUUUGUAAUGCACCUUCUCAAAAUAAUAUUAACCAUCAGAUUUUUCAUGAGCUGCCAAAUUGCAGGGCUGUCUGAGUGAUUGUGGGGUUGUUAAACAGGUUGUACUUUUAAACAAAGUUUUAAAUUCAAUUGCCCACCUAUUGUCAUAGAAGUGUCAUCUUAGAUGCCUUAGGCCUAUAAGAGGUUGAUAUGAACUGACUGACAUGGCUGAGGUGACCCAAAUAUUUUUCUGAUGGCAGUCAGGGUUCAGUUAGGGAAAUUUCUCAAGUUAUCUGCACUGGUGAUAAGCAAGCUGAUGUGAAAGAGACAGAAUUAACCCCAGAUUAACUGAGAGUUUACCUUGGCAGCAUUUCCACUAGGAACUUAAGUGUAAUUUGAAAUUUUCUAUGAUUUGAGAACAAAAGUGACCAUGUUGCAUUUUAUUAUGCACUCUCCAGGUCCUUAGAAAGCAUCUCCAAGGUUAUUAGAUGAGUAGCUAUGCAGGAGAGAACAGUAAAGUUGAGCUCUCAUCUGAUCUGAACUCACAAUGGAGGUCUGAGCACAGAAUAAGGCAGACCUGGAGGUGAGGGCUGGUGGCUACCAGCACAGCCUUUUCAGUGUCCUCAAGUUCAUGCACAGCUCUACAUUUUUACUGUCAGAACUACUUUGCAUGUCAAUUUUCAGAGCCAAAAGCAUUUGAUAUACUAAUAUUAAAAUGAACAUCCUACCACACCAUAAAUCCCUUUGCUUUCAGGGCUAACACUGAUAAAUUUACUGUGAAACAUACGCAGAGUAAUGAACAGUGUAGGGUGUUGCCUGGUUUCUGAGGGCCUGGCUAACGGGGAAGAAUGCCUCAUAUUGCUUUUAACUUCCAACCCCCAGCUGUAUAGAGGCAGAAAUUCAAAAUUAAAAAUAACCUUUCAGCUGAUUCCUUGCAUAAUUGCUAUCUUGUUUUGUUAAUACUGUGGCUGAAUUAUAACUUGCUGAAGUCCUGGAGAUUUACAUGCUGCUUUAUCAGCCUGAAUUUGCAUUGACAUGCUUUUCAGUCAAGUGAGUAACUAAAUCCCAUAGCCUUGAGUGAGCCUGGCAGUAUUUGCAUAGAAAAUCACAGGGAGAUUAGGG